rnacentral:rRNA from 1 species
ACUCCUACGGGAGGCAGCAGUGGGGAAUAUUGCACAAUGGGGAAACCCUGAUGCAGCCAUGCCGCGUGUGUGAAGAAGGCCUUCGGUUGUAAAGCACUUUCAGUAGGGAGGAAGGUAGUGUAGUUAACACCUGCAUUAUUUGACGUUACCUACAGAAGAAGCACCGGCUAACUCCGUGCCAGCAGCCGCGGUAAUACGGAGGGGUGCGAGCGUUAAUCGGAAUUACUGGGCGUAAAGCGCAUGCAGGCGGCCUGUUAAGUCAGAUGUGAAAGCCCGGGGGCUUAACCUCGGAAUUGCAUUUGAAACUGGCAGGCUAGAGUCUGUAGAGGGGGUAGAAUUUCAGGUGUAGCGGUGAAAUGCGUAGAGAUCUGAAGGAAUACCAGUGGCGAAGGCGGCCCCCUGGACAAAGACUGACGCUCAGAUGCGAAAGCGUGGGGAGCAAACAGGAUUAGAUACCCUGGUAGCACAGAG